AUGCGAUAAGUAAUGUGAAUUGCAGAAUUCAGUGAAUCAUCGAAUCUUUGAACGCACAUUGCGCCCGCCAGUAUUCUGGCGGGCAUGCCUGUCUGAGCGUCAUUUCAACCCUCAUGCCCCUAGGGCGUGGUGUUGGGGAUCGGCCAAAGCCCGCAAGGGACGGCCGGCCCCUAAAUCUAGUGGCGGACCCGUCGUGGCCUCCCCUGCGAAGUAGUGAUAUUCCGCAUAGGAGAAGCGACGAGCCCCUGCCGUUAAACCCCCAACUUUCUCAGGUUGACCUCAGAUCAGGUAGGAAUACCCGCUGAACUUAA
rnacentral:misc_RNA from 1 species